rnacentral:lncRNA from 1 species
GUGACGCGAGGGUGAGCGCUGCCGAGGCCUAGUGCGUCCGGAGGCGGGGCUAGACCUGGGGCGGGGUCUGAGCCCAGUUGAGAAUAUCCAGUUGGCUCAUUGGUUCUUUUUUGGUUUUUUAGUGGCUUUUUUUGCUUUUUAAAAUUUUUGUUAUUUUAUUAUUUUCUGUCUUUGACUUUUUUUAGAUUCUUUUCACUGAGCUACAUCCACAGCCCUUUUUACAUUUUUUUAUGUUGAGACAUAAAAAUCGCUACAUUGCCCGGGUUGGGCUUCAACUUGUGAUCCCCCUGCCUGAGCCUGCUGGAGUUCUGGGAUUACAGACAUGCGCCACACGCCCGGCUCCUCCUGUUCUCCUUUGACUCCACUGAAUGGCACUGUCUUUUCUGCUCAUUUCCAGCUUGCCCUGGGCAGACCUGGGCAUCCCACGUUUUGUGAUCACAUGGGUCAAUUCCCGUGAUUCAUCUUUUUUUAUAUAUCUCCAGCUCUUUGAUGUUUCUGUUUCACUAAAGAACCCUGACUAAUAGAACUAGUUCAAAAUCCAAAAGGUUGCUGGGUGUGGUGGCACAUGCCUACUAACCCAGCACUCAGGAGGCUGAGGCAGGAGGAUCCCCAUGCAUUCAAGGCCAGCCUGAACUACACACCAAGACCCUGUCUAAAAAAAAACCCAAAAAACUGCCUCACAAGCACAAGGUCCUGAGUUCAAUCCCCAAUACCAAGAAAAAAGAAAAAUUUCUGUCAGCUGGGUUUGGUGGUACAUACCUCUAAUCCAGCACUCUGGGAAUGUGAGCCCAGCCUGGCCUAAUUAUUUAUUUAUUUUGUUUGUUUGAUCUUUUGGGGGCAAAGUCUUGCUAUAUAUUUCAGGCUGGCCUUGAACUCACUAUGUAGCCCAGGCUGGCCUCAAACUCACAGUGAUCCUCCCACCUUAGCCUCCUGAGUACUGAGAUUACAGGCGUACACCACCAAGCCCAGCAAGCCUAGACAAUUUAGCGAUUUAGGGAGACACUGUCUCAAAAUAAAAAAGAAGAAAGAAGGAAGGGUAGGGGUGGAGUUCAGUGUGAAGGCCCAGGUGGGACAUUCCCCACGAGCUGCCAGGAACCAGUGAAGCAGAUUUCUGGAAGGGCCCACGCCGCCCGCCGCAGAGAAAUACUCGACUCCUUUGGACAAAACCCCACCACAGUAGAACAUUGAGGAGACACUGGGGCCUGAGGUCACUAGGAAUGUUUACUGUUCAUCAGGAUUUGAUGUGAUUUCUGAGUUUGCUUUGGUUUUGCUUUGCAAAGGGUGUUUUUCACCUGCCUGAAGCCGAAACAUAACUAGAUCGAUUUAAAAAGUCUUACUUUUUUUUUUUUUUUCAGUAGUAGGGAUCUCCACAUUGAGCUCCAUCCCCAACCC